rnacentral:rRNA from 1 species
UACGUAGGGUGCAAGCGUUGCCCGGAUUUAUUGGGCGUAAAGGGUCAGUAGGCGGCUAUGUUAGUCUUCUGUCAAAUUCUUCGGCUUAACCGGGGGUCCGCAGGAGAAACGGCAUAGCUUUGAGGAUGCGAGAGGUGAAUGGAACUCUAAGUGUAGGGGUGAAAUCCGUUGAUAUUUAGGGGAACACCAAAAGCGAAGGCAAUUCACUGGCGCACUCCUGACGCUGAAUGACGAAAGCGUGGGUAGCGAAUGGG